rnacentral:rRNA from 1 species
CAGCAGCCGCGGUAAUACGGAGGGCGCGAGCGUUACCCGGAUUUACUGGGCGUAAAGGGCGUGUAGGCGGCCUGGGGCGUCCCAUGUGAAAGGCCACGGCUCAACCGUGGAGGAGCGUGGGAUACGCUCAGGCUAGAGGGUGGGAGAGGGUGGUGGAAUUCCCGGAGUAGCGGUGAAAUGCGCAGAUACCGGGAGGAACGCCGAUGGCGAAGGCAGCCACCAGGUCCACUUCUGACGCUGAGGCACGAAAGCGUGGGGAGCAAACAGGAUUAGAUACCCCAGUAGUCCCUGUCUCUUAUAC